GGGCUCGCGUCGGCAGCACGUGUGCUGAAAUUGGAACCACGCAGGGAAGACUAGCAUGGCCCCGCACACGGACGGCAGGCGGAUCUGCGCGGCGUCGCACAGUUUU
ensembl:snRNA U6 U6 spliceosomal RNA